AUCUGCUAAAUCCAAACUCCUAAUUUAUCCCUCCCCCUCACCUAUCCCUUUGGUAACUAUAAAUUUGUUUUCUAUGUCUGUGAGUCUUUUUCUCUUUUGUAAAUAAGUUCAUUUGUAUCAUAUUUUAAAUUCCACAUAUAAAGGGUAUCAUAUGGUUUUGUCUUUCUUUUUCUGACUUAGUACAAUAAUCUCUAGGUCCAGCCAUGUUGCCACAAAUUACAUUAUUUCAUACUUUUUAUGGCUGAGUAAUAUUCCUGUGUGUGUGUGUUGUUUGUGUGUGUGUGUGUGUGUGUGUGUGUGUGUGNGAGAGAGAGAGAGAGAGAGAGAGAGAGCUUGCCAUUUGGACAAGUUCAUCUUCUUUAUCCACUCAUCUUUCACUGGACAUUUAGGUUGCUUUCAUGCCUUGGCUAUUGCAAAUAUUGCUGUUAUGAACUUUGAUGUGCAUAUAGCUUUUUGAAUUAAGAGUUUUCUUGGUAUAUAUGCCCAGCAGUGGAAUUGCUGGAUUAUAUACUAAGUAUUAUUAGUUUUGAAAAAACAUCUAUUCUGUUAUCUAUAGUGGCUGCACCAAUUUACAUUCCCACCAACAUUGUAGGAGGGUUCCCUUUUCUCCACACCCUCUCCAGCACUUGUUUUUUGUAGACUUUUUAAUGAUGGCUAUUCUGACUGGUGUGAAGUGAUACCUCAUUUUAGUUUUGAUUUACAUUUUGCUAAUAAUUAGCAGAUGUUGAGCAUCUUUUCAUGUACCUACUGGCCAUCUGAUAUCUUUUUUUGGAUAAAUGUCUAUUUACAUCUUCUGUCCAUGUUUGGGUUUUUUUUUUAAUGCUUUUUUUAGGGCCGCACCUGCAGCAUAUGGAAGUUCCUAGGCUAGGGGUCUAAUCAGAGCUACAGAUACUGGCCUACGCCACAGCCACAGCCACAGCCACAGCCACAGCAACGUGGGAUCUGAGCCCAAGUCUGCAACCUACACCGCAGCUCAACACUAGAUCCUUAACCCACUGAGGGAGGCCAGGGAUAGAACCCAUAUCUUCAUGGAUCCUAGUUGGGUUUGUUAACUGCUGAGCCACAAAGGGAACUCCCUCACUUUUUAUUGAGUUGUUUGGGGGUUUUUUUGAUACUGAGUUUUAUAUUUAGGAUAUUGAGCCCUUGCUGUUCAUGUCAUUUGCAGAUACUUUCACUCAGUCCAUAGGUUGUCUUUUCAUUUUGUUUAUGGUUUCCUUUGGUGUGCAAAAGCUUAUAAGUUUGAUUAGAUCCCAUUUGUUUAUUUUUGCUUUUAUUUAUGUUGCCUUGAGAGACUGACUCAAGAAAACAUUGCUAUGAUUUAUGUCAGAGAAUGUUUUCUGUAUGUUCUCUUCUGUAAAUUGUCUGGUGUCAUGUCUUAUAUGUAAGUGUUUAAGCCGUAAGGAGUGUUUUAAUGUAAUUGAUUUACACAUGGUUGCCCAGCUUUCCCAACACCACUUGCUCAAGAGAUUAUCUUUCUCCAUUGUAUAUUCUUGCAUCCUUUGUUGAAAAUUAAUUGACUGUAAGUGUGUGGGUUUACUUUUGAGCUCUCUGUUUUGUUCUGCUGAUCCAUAUGUCUGUGUUUUUGCCAAUACCAUGCUGUUUUGAUUACCGUAGCUUUGUAGUAUUGUCUGAACUCUACAGUGUUAUGCCUCCAACUUUGUUCUUUUUCCUCAGGGUUGCUUUGGCAAAUCUUGUCUUUUAUGGUUUCAAAUAAAUUUUAACAUUUCUUGUCUAAUUCUGUGAAAAAUGUCAUGGGUAAUUUGAUAGAGAUUGUAUUAAAUCUGUAGAUUGCUUUGGGUAGUAUAGCCAUUCUUUACAAUAUUAAUUCUUUUAAAUCUACGAUCAUGGGUGAUCUUUCAAUUUAUUUAAAUCAUAUUCAAUUUCUUUAUCAAUGUUUUAUAGUUCUCAGCAUAUAAGUCUUUUGCCUUCUUGUUGAGGUUUAUUUCUAGGUAUUAUUUUUGAUGCAAUUUUAAAAGGGAUUUUUUUUUUUUUUUACUUUCCCUUUCUAUUUCAUUAGUGUAAAGAAAUGUAACGGCUUUCUGUAUGUUAAUCUUGUAUCCUGUUACUUGCUGACUUCGCUUAUCAGUUCUAGUAGUUUUUAGGGAAAGUCUUUAGGAUUUUCUAUAUAUAGUAUCAUGUCCUCUGCAUAUAAUGACAUUUUUACCUUUUCUCUUCCAAUUUGGAUACCACAAAUUUUAAUUUAUGAUCUUUUCAGAAUUCUGUCUUUGUUUAACAAGUUUUCAAUGCCUGAUUUACUUUUAUAGAAAAAGAAGCAGGGUAUCAUUAUUUAAAUAAGCAAAUUCCAAUAAAUAGUUUGUGGGGAAACAAAAAUUCCCAAAGUGCAGAUAAACCUGUUAUAUUAUGCUGUUAUGAAACGUUCAUUUUGAAGUCAACUUGAUUUAUCAUUUAUUUUUUAAAGCAUUUCAUAAGAGUGUUUUCUUAUUAAAUUGACUAUCCAUACAAUAAAGUCCUCAUUCUGAAGGAAUCAUAUAGCAACCAAAACAAAUGACCAGGCUAGUUAAAUGGUUGAAAAACACUGCCCUAGGUCAGACAAACCUUGCUUCAGAUUCUAGGAAAGUAAUUCAUUCUCCAUGUGACCUGGUCAGAUUCUUUAACUUCUUGGUGUCUCGGUUUCCUCAUUUCUAAGAAAGGAGCUACAAAUAUUUGCCUCAUAGACAAGUUCAGAAGCAAAUAUGAUGAUUUAUGAAGAAUGUUUAGUCUGGUGCCUGGCAUCUAGAUUUCUAAGACUAUUCUCGGGAAAAUGCACUGAAGGUUUUACUCUGGUUCCUUUUUCUGGACUCAUUCAGCCAAAAACCCUAGUGGAUAUUCCUCAUGAAGUCACACAUGUCUUUGAUGAUUUUGGAGAAGAAGUAUUUUUAAAGAAAUGAAAGUGUCUUCCCUGUCAAUCCAGAGAUUAUAACCUAUCUUCUGUCUACCCAGAAAGGGAGCAUAUACACAACAACGUGGAAAUUAUUCAUCCACACACAGGCAUAUGGGUAGACACCUUACUGUAAGAUAAAACAUAUUACAUGGAACUAAGAAGAGGAGGAAGAAGGGAAAGACAUAGGAAUAUGUGUGUAGGUUACGAAUUAGUACAAGGCUCUGGGCUGAGGAUGGUCAUCCUUGUCCCAUCUGAAUCCUGGGAGGUAAACAGAUUUGCUAUCCUGAGGAAACCAAGAAGCAAAAAUUGACACCUGUUGCCCAAGGGAAUUAAUAAAGGCUACUUGGGAGUGAAGGUCAACUUUGAUUUAAGUGACAGAGUAUUAGAACCUGAAAUAUUUCACCUCCACAAAGAUGACCUCCUAAACUGAAAAUGAGAAGAUCACAUAAAAAUACAGCAUCAAGGGAGCAGAUGCUAUGAAGUUUUCACAAAAUUAGUCAUUAUUUGCUCCCCAGCGACUGUGGUAAGAAAAUCAAUACUAUUUAAAUGUCUGUAGGGGGACAGGCUAAAGAAAACUUAAAUCUCAUCACAGCUAGAAAACCACUUGAUUCCUCCUACUCUGCAGCAGUUUAUCUCCCAAGGUCAGGUUAGAGAACCUUGCUUGGCAACGCAGCUUCCCCAGAGGAGCCAACAAAUGCGUCUAGGUACUUCAAUCCAGCCCCUUUCACUAACAUUAAAAUCUAUUCAAUGUAUUUUAUUCAAUGUGUUUCAAAAAUUUCAUCCAGACACAUUCAAUAAAUGCAGAAUUGUCUUGCACAGAAAUUAUACUUGUUUGCAUAGCAUAUCCAUUCUAAAAUAUGACUAAAUGAGGUUUCCAGCGGCGUCUGCACUGGAAAUAGUUUUGAAUUCAUUUGCUGCUCUUUUGCUCUUCCUCUUCAAUAUCUUUAGGAAGAUAAUCUUCAUUCUAAUCACUCUUAAAAACAUAAGCUCAUGGCCCUGUGAUUCCCUGAAUCUGAGCAACUGGAUCUUAUUCCUAUCUCAGCUGAACUGUAAGAAGUCCAUUGCUCCAAACUGCUUAUACUGAUUUCCCUAUCAUCCUGAUGGGGUAUUUGGGAGUUCUUUCGGAAUGUGAAUUCCUAUCUCUAAUCUCUAAAACCAAAGUGUGUUUACUAUUCAAACCCCAAAGCGGCAUGAUCUUUUUGUUGGCUAUGCAGAUAAUCCUGUGAAGCCACAGUGAAAAAAAGUGAUUGAAUCAGCUAGGUCAUUCUAGAAGGCUUAUUUGUAUAUGAAAAACAUGUAUACCUCUUUCAUCUGUUGCUUUGUCCACCACUUCUCAAAUACAACCUAAUAGAUUUUCAAAAUGGUUUUCAGUUGCCUAUCAGCCAAUAUAAUCAUCUCUUCGUAAACAUAUUCAUAAGAUCAUUUUCUUUCAAGUCUCUUUUCUUUUUUCUUGGAUCCCCACCACCACCCCAUUCUCCUCCUAUUCUUAUCUCAUCUCUCCUUUCCUCUCACUUCCUGUGCUAUUCCCUUCUCCACCCCUUCCCAGGUAACUCACUUAAUAACCAAGGAUUUAUUCCUUCUUUAAUUUUCCCCAUGUCAGGGACUGGUUAUCAGUGAUACCAUGAUGAACAAAAUUUCAUUAAGCACUUGAUUGCAUGUCUCUGAAAGGCUCUGCAAUUUCUCAUCUGUCUUCAUCCUCAGAGGGUCAGCCUUAAUCCACCUCUUCCUCAUCUCCAAGCUGUCUCCACAGCAGCCUCGCUCCAGCCUCACUCAUCCUUCUAACACGCAGCAGGCAUGCAGGGAACUCUCUCAACCAAAUGGAUUAGGUCCUCGCUAGCCUAAAGUCUUUUAAAAAGCAGACCUAAUUUGGAUCUAUAAAAGGGUGAAGUUUCUGUGGAAAACAGGACAGCGGUUCCUCAAAAGAUUAAGCAGUGAAUUACCAUAUCACCUAGAAACUCCCCUUCUGAGUAUCUCUCCAAAGGAAAGGAAAUCACUGUCUUGGAGAGUCAGGUGUUCUCCCACGUUCAUAGCAACAUGACUCACAAGGGCCAAAAGGUGGAAGCAACACAAGUGUCCAUCAGCAGAAAGGUGGAUAAACAAAACAUGGUAUCUGCAUGCAAUGGAGUGCUAGUCACCCUUAAAAAAAAUGAAAUUAUGACAUGCGCUACAACAUAGGUGAAUCUUGAAGACAUUGUGCUAAGUGAAAUAAGCCCAUCACCAAAAGACAAAUAGUGUGUGAUUCCAUUUACAUGAGAGUAGUCAAAAUCAGAGAUAAGGAAGUAUGAUGGUGGCUGCCAGGGGCUGGGCAAAGGGGUUGGAAGGUUUGUGUUUAAUGAAUACAGAGUCUUAGUUUUGCAAGAUGAAAAAAAGUUUUGGAGAUGGAUGGUGCUGAUGGUUGCACAACAAUGUACUAUGAUGUCACCAAACUGUACACUUAAAAAUGGUUAAAACAGCAAAUUUUAUUGUGUGUGUGUGUGUGUGGCCACAGUAAAAUAAAUCCAUUGGCUACUCUUUAACCCAAUUCUCCAAGCCUUACUCAUGAUGUUCCUUCUGCCUAGAAAGUGCCACUUUGCAAACCUACCUCUGACCUUUCCCUGACAGUCCAAAGCAGAAUGUGUUGCUGUCCCCUCAGAGACCCAGCGGUUUUUUGUUCUCUUGGGCCCUAUGGCAUCACUACCAUCAAACCUCUGAGAGGGUUAUGCUGGCAUCUCCGCCAAGGGAGGAUGAAUCUGAAGUAGAACAGUCUACCCGGCACAUUUAACUAAUGAAUGAAUUUCGGUCCUGUACCAUGUAGAACACUCUGUAAGCAUCACUCUCUGUCCAGUGAACCAUUUUUCCAUCAAAGGAAAGGUUUUGCAGGAAGCAACUGUCAGAAGAUAAAUGGAGCAGGACUCUGAAACAUUGGGAUUUAAUAUGUUUUCCUUUAAAGUUGCAUCAGCUUGGUGUAAGCACUUCCAUUCCUAACAAUGUAUGGACAUUUUCUUUUGGUGGACUUUGGUCAGUGAAGUAUUGAGAAUGAGUAACGCAGUGUCUUUGACCAUUUUCAGUUAAAGAAAUGGGCCUUCUGAGGUCCCACAGAAUAUUCUACUUUCUCUUAAAUGUCGGGGCCCCUUAUCAAUAACCCAUCUUACAAAUGGGAAUACUGAUACUUCAAAAAUCUGAUAGGAGUUCCCAUUGUGGCUCAGUGGUUAACGAAUCCGACUAGUAACCGUGGGGUUGUGGGUUCAAUCCCUAGCCUUGCUCAAUGGGUUGGGGAUCUGGUGUUGCCAUGAGCUGUGGUGUAGGUUGCAGAUACAGCUUGGAUCCCACACUGCUGUGGCUCUGGCAUAAGCCUUCAGCUAAAGCUCCAAUUCGACCCCUAGCAUGGGAACCUCCAUAUGCCAUGGGUGUGGCCCUAGAAAAGGCAAUAAAUAAACAAACAAACAAAUAAAUAAAUAAAUCUGAUAGAUUUGUUCUAAGUCAUAUAAAAGGAGUCAAUAGGUAUAUGAUCAAGGGAUCUAAUAUCUCCUUCUUCAGCCCAUUACUUUUUACACAUGUCAGACCUCUCACCCUGAUGUUCUGUAUUAAGGUUGUUCUCAUAGUCACUCAGCCAAUCAAUAAGGGUUUUUUGAGCACCUAUUAUGUCUCCAGCCCUGUACUUGACCCUGGGGAGAAGAGGGAAGGGUACAUAAAAUAUGUAAAAGGCACAGUCCGUGUUCUCAAAAGUUUAUUAUCUAAAUGUCACAACCCCUAUCAAAGGGAUCUAUAAAAAGCAUCUAUGAAUAAACUCGGCUUUUGAUAUCUCAGACAAACAUUACAUGAAUCUAUAUGUACAACACAAUCUAUAAACAAACCGAACAGCAGUAGAGAAAAUUAAGGUAGAUUAGGAUACCAUCUGCUUGGCAAGUUAAUUAAGUUAAUAUUAGUCUACAAUCAAUGAAGUGUUGCAUUUAAGCUCCACCUUGCCCCAUUAAACCAUGUAUCCUUUU
rnacentral:lncRNA from 1 species